UAGGGAUCCUACCCUAGCGCCGCCAGCCACUCUCUCACGGGAUCCCCACCAAAUCCACCUGCAUCCUCCCUCGAAUUCCCCAACCUGCCAACCACCUCUCCAUCGAUCCCCGGAUCUGCAGCAUCCAGCCCGCUGCGCUCGUGCGUGAGCACCCGAGGGGCCUCGCCCGCGCGUCCUCUGCUGCACUGUCACCGAAGACCGCACCAGCAGGCCCCGUGUGCUCCGUCCCUCUGCUCACCCACGCCGAACGCCUCGACCUCCUCCUCAGCCGGCGAGCAGAUCCGUCGGACCGCAAGAAGCACCCCGUUGCGCUCCCUCUCCUCUCUUCCUAACCAGGAGACCGACGCCGUGAUGAGACUACAGUCGUGUCGCUGAUGUCCGCGUCCAGACCACGAGCCCCAGGUCACGACGGAGCCUUUGUCUCGUCAUUUCCCUCAACCGCGGUCUCUCUUUCUCCCCCCUCGCUAAUCUCAUCCCUCUCCCCUUCUUUUCUCUGCAGAGGAGAUCUGAGGGAUGCCCGAGCCAUGGAGAUGAGCCGCCAUGGAAGGGUUGCCCCGCCGUUGGUGCCUCCAGCCCUGUAGGAGUGUCACUUUUGGCUAGAUCUGUUGCCUCCCACCGUUCCUCUCGUCGACUCAGCCCCGCCUUGGCCUGUCGAAGCCGCCAACUCCUGCUGCUGUGGCAUCCUGUACCACGCGAAGCCGGCGCACAUGUGUCCCGCUCACUCGAACGCGUGAGCUCAAGGGAAACACAAACCUUCCAGCGGGCCGGCUUCCCAGCUCCCCCGCUGGCCUGAUCUGGCUCGAGGUGAGACUUCACCUCCGCGUCAUGCCUUGGGAGGUUGAAGCCCCACAUUGCCGGAAUCCAAUCCUAGCUCAGCUGAUUAGCCAUGCUCUGUCUCACCCAGUAGACCAGGGUUCAAAUCCCUAGUUACACAUAUUGUGUUUCCCACCAUAUUAGUAUGUUUUCUGCACUUUUGUUACAGCUAAUCUUGCAUAUUUGGAUUAUAUGCCACUCAUUUAAAAUGCAUGCAUCUUUUAAACAGUGCGUUAAAUCGAAAUGUGGAACGUGUAAAAUUUCGUGUAGAUUAAUAUUUUUCAACACUCAUGCAGAUUUAAAGCUAUUAACCUUGCCGUUUGCCUCGUUUUGCGUGAUGUUAUGCUAAAACGGUUUAAUUCGAAGCUUGUUAACCGUAGCUCAGUUGGAGAUGAGCUAUGUAUGUAAACCGACAAGAAUUAUGUGUAGUUUCACGUGAACCACUUUAUUUCGACGUUUAACAAAUAUAAAAUAUGUUAGUUCAGAUCUGGACCAAUUUUGAUUUAUCACAUGGGGUCAUUUCGGAAAUACUAUAUGUUGUUUCCGACCUCAUUUAAAAUUCCUCGCUAGUGUAGUUUAUUUCUGAUUCACCUCUUGCCAUGAUAAUAACAUUUUAAAAUUUUCGUGUACCUAAACGAUUGUGAACUAAAUAUUUGAAUGUGGAGUUUCGUCAAUAUGCAACUUGUUGCAUACUGAGCUUCACUUAAUGUGUAGUGUUUGAUUGUUGUGAAUUGUCAUGCCGUAGCUUGCAUAAUUAAACUGGGCAUACAUCAUAUGUGUUGUGCAUCAUAUCGUUCAUGUGUCGUGGUGAAUAUCAUGUGUUGAUUCUUGUUUUCAGUUUGCUUCUUCUCGAUAGAGUUCCGCAAGCGUGUUGAAAUGUGAGGAUCCGUUCAACUACUUCGGUUCGCCUGCUUCAUAGAUUCGUUCUUCUUCCAAGCGGGAUCUCAAGCAAGAUGACCAUUUCCCUAGAUAACAUUACUAUAAUUGUGAUGCUGGUUGUUUCCUUUCUAUCGCUAUGUUUUGCAGCCUACCACCUAUUAAAUGUCAGCCUCCCAACGUUGCCAUGAAAACCUCUUAUCUUUCCACAACCCAGCAAACCACUGGUUUAUAUCGUUGCUACUUAAUUUAAUGCACCUAUAUCCUAUACACGUGCAGUUGCUUCCAUGUGAAAACAUGGGUUCCUUGUUAUAUCACCAUAUACUUGCUACUUAAUUUAACACACCUAUAUAAUUGGUAAAGGGUGGAAGGCUUGGGUCUCUAGUCUGAUGUUUUGUUCCAUCUUUGUCGUCUUAGUUUUGUCUACCGGUGUUAUGUUCCAUAAUUGAGCAGUCCUAACACGCUCGGGGUUGUUUUGGGGACCCCUUUGAUAAUUCGUUUUAGUUUAAUCUGGUCUGGCAAGGCCCAACUUUGAUACUACAUUUGCCUAAUAACCUAAUAAAAUUGCAUAGGGACUUUCCGGACCCAUAGAUAAUUGAUAAACCCUCGAGCCAGUGCUCUGCAUGAGUGUUGGUCCAACCUAUCAACUGUCAGUGGCUACCAGGGGCAAUUCUGUGAUUGGCCUACCGGAAGUUUAGACAAUCCGUCAGGUCCUGAGAAUGAGAUACACGGCUCCUAUUGGGUUUGUCCACACGUCAGGCGGCUUUGCUGGACUUGUUUUAUCUUUGAC
rnacentral:lncRNA from 1 species